rnacentral:misc_RNA from 1 species
GAUGAAGAACGUAGCGAAAUGCGAUAAGUAAUGUGAAUUGCAGAAUUCAGUGAAUCAUCGAAUCUUUGAACGCACCUUGCGCCCUUUGGCUAUUCCGAAGGGCAUGCCUGUUUGAGUAUCAUGAACACCUCAACUCUCAUGGCUUGCCAUGAUGAGCUUGGACUUUUGGGGGUCUUGCUGGCCUGUGGUCAGCUCCUCUCAAAUGAAUUAGCCUGCCAGUGUUUGGUGGCAUCACAGGUGUGAUAACUAUCUACGCUUGUGGUUUUCCACCAGGUAACCUUCAGUGAUGAAGGUUCGCUGGGGCUCAUAAACGUCUCUCCUCAGUGAGGACAGCUCUUUGAACGUUUGAUCUCAAAUCAGGUAGGACUACCCGCUGAACUUAAGCAUAUCAAUAACGGAGGA